rnacentral:lncRNA from 1 species
UGCCCACGGAAAUUGCACCAGAAAACCAUCACAGCUGAAUCUGGUCAGGACGUCACUCUGACAUGUCGAGCUCCAAAAAACAAGAUCAGAGCUGUAAAGUGGAGCAGAGCUGACCUGGGAGAUGAAUAUGUGUUUUGGUGUAAGGGUGGGUGGUUUAUUUUAGAUUACCAGCAUCCAUCUUUUAAGAACCGGGUGGAUCUGCAGGACAGACAGAUGAAGGCUGGAGACGUGUCUUUGAUUCUGAAGAAUGUGAGGGCUGCUGAUGAUGGAAUAUACAUGUGUCAUGUCAACGUGAGAGGAACACGCUCAACUGAGCUCAUCAGCAUCAUCACACUGAGAGUUGUUGAUCCUCCAGGUGAGUGAGUAGAGUUGAGUGUGUGUGUGAUCAGAGGUGAAGCUGCUUCCUGGUUGUUGAUGUUUGUUUCUAAAGAUGUUGUUGAUGAGACUUUGUAGAAAGCAGCUGGUCUGAGUGAUGUGAUCAGAGUGCAGUAGAUAAUGUCUGACAGCAGUUUGAAGAGGAAAUGGAUUCUGUUCUGUUCUUCACUCAUCACCUACCUGACAGCUGACACCUCACACCUGUUUCUCACCUGCAGGUCAGACAGGAGGAUCUACUGUACUUAUGUUUGUUGGUGUGGUUCUUCUCUCUAGUGUUACUGGUGGUGUUUUUGGUGGUGCUUGUGGUUUGGUGACCGAAAUACUGAUAAAUAAACUUUCAAGAAGAUCCAGGAGAUGGCUGUAGAACUCACACAGCCAGAGUUUCAUUUUCUUUAUCAUUUCUGUGAUUAUCAUCAUGUUCAGACUAAGACCAACAGUGUGUCUAUCCUGUCUAUCUGCGUCUUUAAAUUACAGUUUAUUUAUCUCCAGGCUAUCCAUGAGUUUCACUGACACAAACUAAAACUGUUAAAUAUAAAGUAAUGUUCUAUAAUGUCAGAAUUAAUUGGAGUUUUAUUUUAGCUUCAGGAUCAGCAGCUGUUGAAGUAUAAUUACAGACACAGAUUCAACAACACAAACACUGUUUGUCAUAAUCUGAGUGUAGAUGAAGUUCUGUGGAAUUUAAAUGAACAGUUAUCUGGAUCCUCAUAUUCAGGAUCCAUUGAUCAGCUACAACUGAAUGGGGUUUGCAUAAUGUUUUAUUAAUUUCAGUUCAUCAAAUCUGCCUUCUAAAAAACUUUUAUGACAUUAUAUGAAGAUAAAUGUUGUUGCAGGCUCAUUGUUCUUUUGACUUUUUGAAAGAAAGCUGAAGAAUCUAAAGCUCUUAACCAUGUGCACUUUCUCUUGUCUUAAGCUUUUUUGUUAAUAAAGAUUUACAUGCAAAUCAUU